rnacentral:sRNA from 1 species
CUUGGUCAUUUAGAGGAAGUAAAAGUCGUAACAAGGUUUCCGUAGGUGAACCUGCGGAAGGAUCAUUCAUAAUAAGUGUUUUAUGGCACUUUUUAAAUCCAUAUCCACCUUGUGUGCAAUGUCAGUUGUUCUCUUUUUUGAGAAUGACCAAACAUCAACUUAUUCUUUAACUCUUUGUCUGAAAAAUAUUAUGAAUAAAAUAAUUCAAAAUACAACUUUCAACAACGGAUCUCUUGGCUCUCGCAUCGAUGAAGAACGCAGCGAAAUGCGAUACGUAAUGUGAAUUGCAGAAUUCAGUGAAUCAUCGAAUCUUUGAACGCAUAUUGCGCUCUUUGGUAUUCCGAAGAGCAUGCUUGUUUGAGUAUCAGUAAACACCUCAAAGACUUCAAUUUGUUUUGAAUGGCUUUGGACUUGAGCAAUCCCAACACCAGUCUUUACGAUCGGUGGAGGGUUGCUUGAAAUGCAGGUGCAGCUGGACAUUCUCCUGAGCUAAAAGCAUAUUUAUUUAGUCCCGUCAAACGGAUUAUUACUUUUGCUGCAGCUAACAUAAAGGGAGUUUGACCGUAUUGGCUGACUGAUGCAGGAUUUCACAAGGGUCGGCAACGAUUCUUGUAAAACUCGAUCUCAAAUCAAGUAAGACUACCCGCUGAACUUAAGCAUAUCAAUAAGCGGAGGAAAAGAAACUAACAAGGAUUCCCCUAGUAACGGCGAGUGAAGCGGGAUGAGCUCAAAUUUAAAAUCUGGCUGGUUUACUAGUCCGAAUUGUAGUUUAUAGAAGCGUUUUCGGUGGCAGCCUGGGUAUAAGUCCUUUGGAAUAGGGUAUCAUAGAGGGUGAGAAUCCCGUCUUUGACUCAGUGCAUGCUACUAUGUGAUACGUUUUCAAAGAGUCGAGUUGUUUGGGAAU